GAUGAACGCUGGCGGCGUGCCUAAUACAUGCAAGUCGAGCGAACGGACGAGAAGCUUGCUUCUCUGAUGUUAGCGGCGGACGGGUGAGUAACACGUGUAUAACCUACCUAUAAGACUGGGAUAACUUCGGGAAACCGGAGCUAAUACCGGAUAAUAUUUUGAACCGCAUGGUUCAAAAGUGAAAGACGGUCUUGCUGUCACUUAUAGAUGGAUCCGCGCUGCAUUAGCUAGUUGGUAAGUUAACGGCUUACCAAGGCAACGAUGCAUAGCCGACCUGAGAGAGUGAUCGGCCACACUGGAACUGAGACACGGUCAAGACUACUACGGGAGGCAGCAGUAGGGAAUCUUCCGCAAUGGGCGAAAGCCUGACGGAGCAACGCCGCGUGAGUGAUGACGGUCUUCGGAUCGUAAAACUCUGUUAUUAGGGAAGAACAUAUGUGUAAGUAACUGUGCACAUCUUGACGGUAACUAAUAAGAAAGCCACGGCUAACUACGUG
rnacentral:rRNA from 1 species